rnacentral:rRNA from 1 species
GAUGAACGCUGGCGGCGUGCCUAAUACAUGCAAGUAGAACGCUGAAGGAGGAGCUUGCUCUUCUGGAUGAGUUGCGAACGGGUGAGUAACGCGUAGGUAACCUGCCUGGUAGCGGGGGAUAACUAUUGGAAACGAUAGCUAAUACCGCAUGACAACAGUUAUUGCAUGAUAACUGUUUAAAAGGGGCAACUGCUCCACUACCAGAUGGACCUGCGUUGUAUUAGCUAGUUGGUGAGGUAACGGCUCACCAAGGCGACGAUACAUAGCCGACCUGAGAGGGUGAUCGGCCACACUGGGACUGGGACACGGCCCAGACUCCUCCGGGGGGCAGCAGUAGGGAAUCUUCGGCAAUGGACGGAAGUCUGACCGAGCAACGCCGCGUGAGGGAAGAAGGGUUUCGGAUCGUAAAGCUCUGUUGUAAGAGAAGAACGAGUGUGAGAGUGGAAAGUUCACACUGUGACGGUAUCUUACCAGAAAGGGACGGCUAACUACGUG